AGGACGAACGCUGGCGGCGUGCCUAACACAUGCAAGUCGAACGAGGUCCAACCGGUGGCAACACUGGUGAAGACCUAGUGGCGAACGGGUGAGUAUCACGUGAGCAACCUGCCCCGAAGACUGGGAUAACACCGGGAAACCGGUGCUAAUACCGGAUACCCCCACCGGAUCGCAUGGUCUGGUGAGGAAAUGAAUUUUGCUUUGGGAGGGACUCGCGGCCUAUCAGCUUGUUGGUGGUGUAACGGACCACCAAGGCUUCGACGGGUAGCUGGUCUGAGAGGACGAUCAGCCACACUGGGACUGAGACACGGCCCAGACUCCUACGGGAGGCAGCAGUGGGGAAUCUUGCGCAAUGGGCGAAAGCCUGACGCAGCAACGCCGCGUGAGGGACGAAGGCCUUCUGGGUUGUAAACCUCUUUCAGCAGGGACGAUGAUGACGGUACCUGCAGAGACGCCCGCCAACUACGCGCCAGCAGCCGCGGU
rnacentral:rRNA from 1 species